rnacentral:rRNA from 1 species
AAAGAUUAAGCCAUGCAUGUCUAAGUGUAAAUGAAUUUAUAGUGAAACUGCGAAUGGCUCAUUAAAUCAGUUAUAGUUUAUUUGAUAUGAACAUUACUACUUGGAUAACCGUGGUAAUUCUAGAGCUAAUACAUGCAAACAAACCCCGACUUCGGAAGGGGUGUAUUUAUUAGAUAAAAAACCAAUGCCCUUCGGGGCUCCUUGGUGAAUCAUGAUAACUUAACGAAUCGCAUGGCCUUGUGCCGGCGAUGGUUCAUUCAAAUUUCUGCCCUAUCAACUUUCGAUUGUAGGAUAGAGGCCUACAAUGGUUUCAACGGGUAACGGGGAAU